GCCAGGCAUGGUGGUGCAUGCCUGUAGUCCCAGUUACUCAGGAGGCUGAGGUGGGAGGAUUGCUUGAGCCCAGGAGGUUGAGGCUGCAGUGAGCUGAGAUUGAGUCCACUGCACUCCAGCCUGGGCAACAGAGCAAAACUCCAUCUCAA
ensembl:misc_RNA Metazoa_SRP Metazoan signal recognition particle RNA